rnacentral:lncRNA from 1 species
UUCAUUUCACAAUUUGCAUCAGAUUCAAGGAAUUCCCAAAAUUGAGAAUCUCUCUACAAGAAAUCCCAACAGGAAGAUUAGAAGAAGGGGAUUAGAUGCCAAGCCUCCCUAAUCCACUGGGGUCAAAUGCAACUCCCUUGCUCAGUCCACCAGUACACCACACCUGUCCUUUUGUUGCCCCUUCUUGGAUUCUUGAUGCCCCUCAC